GGCUGUGUAGCAUAGUGGUAAGGCGCAGGGCUUGUAACCAAAAGGUUGCUGGUUCGAGGCCCCGCCAGGGCAC